UCUGCGUAAAAGUAGUGCAAAGUAAUUAAAUCAGUGCAUAUCGGUGUUUUAUCGUUGAAAUCAGCUGAAAAAUUCAACGAAAGGACAAGGUAAGUAAAAUACAAUACAAACAUAACGAAGAUCUUCUUUUACAGGGUAAUUUUGACUCAAAUUUGGGUGUGCCAAGCUCGGCUAAACUUUGCGUGGAAGAUCGCUGCUAGGUCGCACUUUUUCUUUAAAAAGAGGCCUGCAGGAGUCCACUAUUUAUCCCGGGAUUCACCAUGUAAGCCAUCUUGACGCGCAAGAUGCUACAGGCCUGAAUGCACCGAGAGAUCCCCUCACCGCAACACCACCAGUCGCGCUCGGACCGAGGGAAAGGAUAUUUAACCCCUUGGUCGUCCACGAACUGGCCCGUUGGGCUAUGGAUUCUCGAUUGUAGUGAUAUUUUCACUGUUCGGUCUUGCUGCUGUUGACGACAGGUCAAUCCAGAUCCGCUGACUUGGUCCAGGGAAAGUGGGACGUCGCCCGUAAACCCCUAGCACCCAAGUCGGUGCGGAUCGUGGCCACUGACAUCUCCAGCCGCAACGUACUAGGUGUAAAAUAUUAGAUAUAAGAGAAGCGAAAAAGAAAAUAGUUUAAAUAAAGCUUUUGUUCGGGGCUUUCCCCAAUUCUUUGCUUGUUCUAACUCCACGAAGGAAACAAGACUUUUCACAGGUUGCGAACGCCUACCAGGUAUGACUACGUCACCUUGCUGGGUCCUCGGCAAUUCUACAGAUUCCAACUCCUUUCGGCCACCUCCCGGGCAGAACUCCUCCUGCUAUCCGGUUCAUUGGUGCCUAGAAUAACGAUUAGGACGGCUUCACAGGACUUACUCAUUGCCUAAUUUAUCGGCCCAGUCCAACAGGUACAAAAUAAUUUCAUUUCAGGUGUGAUUACCUCUCCAGGGAUGACGUCACACGUCAUCUGCCUGGGUUUACGGUAAUUUGUGGGUUCUAAAUCGGUUCAAUUCCUCUAAUACAUUCUAAUCUGCCGCCGGAUCUCAUCACCAGGACGGUACAGACUCUUGACCAGCAAAUGGUCGUAAAUUAUGGUUUCCUCACAACACUACUGCUGGAGAGGACUCGACUGACGAUCGCUUGGAUCGGGCACCAAUCAGUCGCACUUCUUUCCUACUGUUCUGUUUUGAUUCUGUUCUAUAGUUGUGUGUGUUGGAGGAAAAGUGUGGUUGUCGUUUGAUAAUUUGAUUGCUCGUCAAGUUCAACAAUGGACCCGAAAGAGACGAGACAAAAUAAAUAACAUUGAAUGCUGUUGCAUGAUUGUCGUGUAGUAGACACAAAAGGACGUUAUAAACAUUAUGUACACGCAGCAUAAAAGUUAUAAAACUCGCUGCUGACCAAAAUCGACGAACUGAGUCGUGCCAAAAACGAUUUUGGAAAGCGCGCAAGAUCCUCAUUCCAAUAGGACCGUAAUGGACCGCGGUUCUGUGCUU